rnacentral:misc_RNA from 1 species
GAUGAAGAACGCAGCGAAAUGCGAUACGUAAUGUGAAUUGCAGAAUUCAGUGAAUCAUCGAAUCUUUGAACGCAUAUUGCGCUCUUUGGUAUUCCGAAGAGCAUGCUUGUUUGAGUAUCAGUAAACACCUCAAAGCUUUUGGAUUUUUUAAUCGAAAAGCUUUGGACUUGAGCAAUCCCAACACCAAUCUUUUUGAGAUCGGUGGCGGGUUGCUUGAAAUGCAGGUGCAGCUGGACAUUCUCCUGAGCUAAAAGCAUAUUCAUUUAGUCCCGUCAAACGGAUUAUUACUUUUGCUGCAGCUAACAUAAAGGGAGUUUGACCGUAUUGGCUGACUGAUGCAGGAUUUCACAAGGGUCGGCAACGAUUCUUGUUAAACUCGAUCUCAAAUCAAGUAAGACUACCCGCUGAACUUAAGCAUAUCAAUAAGCGGAGGA